rnacentral:rRNA from 1 species
UAACACGUGGGGAACCUGCCCCAUAGUCUGGGAUACCACUUGGAAACAGGUGCUAAUACCGGAUAAGAAAGCGGAUCGCGUGAUCAGCUUUUAAAAGGCGGCGUAAGCUGUCGCUAUGGGAUGGCCCCGCGGUGCAUUAGCUAGUUGGUAAGGUAAAGGCUUACCAAGGCGAUGAUGCAUAGCCGAGUUGAGAGACUGAUCGGCCACAUUGGGACUGAGACACGGUCCAAACUCCUACGGGAGGCAGCAGCC